rnacentral:rRNA from 1 species
UACGUAGGGUGCAAGCGUUAAUCGGAAUUACUGGGCGUAAAGCGUGCGCAGGCGGUUAUGUAAGACAGGUGUGAAAUCCCCGGGCUUAACCUGGGAACUGCAUUUGUGACUGCAUAGCUAGAGUACGGUAGAGGGGGAUGGAAUUCCGCGUGUAGCAGUGAAAUGCGUAGAUAUCGGUCGGAACACCAGUGGCGAAGGCGGUCUCCUGGGGCAUUCUUGACGCUGAGGCGCGAAAGCUGGGGGAGCGAACGGG